CCACUACGAGUGUAGAGGAGUUACUUCAUCCCUGGAGGAUGACAUCGCUGGUAUUUCUCCGUCGUCCAUUUACUUGCAUUACCAAAUCUCCUCUGUCAACAGCAUCAGGAUGUGAAUUACACAAAAACACCAGAGUGGUAAAUGCCACGAGGCCGUCCCGCAUUUCACAUCAGUAAAGUGGGGAAUGACGGCAGCUGCAAACAGCCAAAUGUGCAAAAUUCAAGAGCAAACGAAAGGAGAAUUCAUCCCACAGAGACACAAUCUAACAAAUCAAGACCAAUUUGAUCUAAAAUGGUGCGUACAUACAUUAUGAAAUGAACAAUACUCCAGCACAGGGGUGUCCAAACUUUUUAUAAAUAGGGUCAGGUGAGGUGAAAAUGUGUGAGGGCCUACAGUCUUUGAAUCCUUAUAUUAACAUUAAAUGCAAAUUGAUUGAAAUAGUUCAUUUCAAUAAAUAGUUGAAUAACUAUUUAGUUGAAAAAUAGAUUUUGAUCAGAGAAAACAAAUUUGUUCAUUUUGUUUACAGUCUAGAAAUGACCUAGAAGGUUUGGAAUGGCUCAUAACGGAAUUUAGCCAAUCACAAUCAAAAAAUCAUAGUGCUGGGGGCUGCAUAUUAUUGAUUUUAUGACAGCAACCUGCCAGUAGAUAUUGGAAUCUUUAGCAUAAAGACAGUUUUGAUUUAUGUGUUUUGGAAUAAUAUGUAUCUAACAGCUAGUUGUGUAAUAAAAAUGUUCCCACAUUUUCAUAACUCACAUCUAACUUUGAAUUUUGGAUUUGAGGUCACUUGUGCCACACAAAACAAUGGACGUCACAGCCAACGACAAACAGCACUAGGCAUGGAGUCACUAGUAGCCAAUAGGGUGGCUGGUUACAAUCAACAUUACCAGGAAACAGGAACCAUACAUGGAAACUAUUUUGUGUUUAUGAUAGAAUUGUAAAACUGCAGCAUCUACACAAUAAGACGGACACAAGCUCAGUAACAGCUGGAAAACACAUGGAGAACCUUAUAGGUCGUUAGCUUUUUUAAAUCCUGAAGCUUCAUUAAGUGUGAAUUACUCAAACACAAAUGAUCUCUAUAAAUGUUUGUGCUGUAUGCUGCCAAUAUAUCACAGCGUCUUUAGAACAAGCAGGAGUGUGCAAGCCAAGAGAGAUUUUUCUCUUUUGAGAUGGGUGUUUGGAGAGGCUGGGUGUGGUGUUGUGGGAAGAGACUCCACUGUCCUGACUUUUUGUUUACUUUUCUUUGUGAUUCAUUAAAGGAGGAAAUGAACUUUCCUCUCUGUGAUAGCAUAAAAGACAAAGCAAAAAGCAGCUGGGUGUGUACUGUCUGGUUGUGCACGUCUGCGUCUGUGAAUGCGGCUCCAUCGGAGCAGCACUAAGGGUGAUUAGCUCAGAUAAUUAGGUAGCCUGAUAAACCAGGUUGACUCCGACAGGCGUGUUAUGUAAGUGUUCCCCGAUCAGUGGAGAGAAGGUCGUUGCAGAUGAAGAGCACUCAGGUAUAUAGUAGGGCUGCACGGUGUAGCAGUGGUUAGCGCUCUUGCAGGAAGGCCCCUGGUUAAAGACCCGGCUGGGAGACCUGAAACAGAACAUCGAUGGGGACCUUUCUGUGUGGACUUUGCAUGUUCUCCACAUGCAUGCGUGGGUUUUCUCCGAGGACUCCGCCUUCCUCCCACUGCCUAGAAAAAUGCUCCAUAGGUUAAAUGGUUACUCUAAAUUGUCCCUAGGUGUGAAUGUGAGACUGCAUGGGUGUGUGUGUUGUGGCCCUGCGACAGACUGGCAACCUGUCCAGGGUGUCCCCUGCCUGCGUGCACGGGAUUGGCUCCGGCAAAAGGGACUAAACGGAUUAGAAGAUGAAAGGUGUAUAGUAUUUGGUCUUUUAUUUUGUUCAUUUUUCUCUAAACAAUAAUAGUUAUAGUAAUAGAAUAGUUAUAAUAAUAGAAAUGGUGAUUUAUUUUAUGCAGAGUAUUCUUACAAGUUUUUUAAUUGUUGUUUUAUGGCUUUGGUUUGUGUUUUCCAUUAAAUCCCAUGUGAUGCAGCAUCCACUGCAGUUGACAUUUGUACUUUAAGUCGAAGGUUUUUUAGUUGUGAUGACAUGUUUAAUAAAUGUAGCUUUAUCUCAAUUAUUUUUUUUUUCAUCUUCAUUGAUACUUUGAAUUGCUAAGCGAAAGUCGGGAUGGUAAAAAAAAAAUGUCAGAGAAGUCAUUCCAAACAGACCAAACCCCAAACAGAUGAAGAAAAAGGCAGAUGGGAGAUGAGACUCUCUCUGCAGGCCUAACGCCAAUUUUGUUUUUUGAAGCUGUGAAGCAUAGUAGUCCUCUUUCAUCUAGUCAUGUGCCCUGAUUUGUACACACACGAGAAAAUGUGAUAAUUCAAUUAAACACUAUCAAGAUCUUUUAGGAAUCAGAGGAAAAAAUCUAAGCCUUUAAAACACAUUAGUUGCAUCGCGUCCGCAUCAUUAACUCACACUGUGUGCUCUCUUUUCAUUCACAGUGCACAGUUGGAAAUAAAACAAUGAGAUGUUGCCGGAGGCUGCAUCUGAAUUUAUUACAAACCAAAAAAA